rnacentral:lncRNA from 1 species
ACCUGGUGCUGGGGGCAGCCGGUGCGGCCCCAGGGAGCCCCAGCCUAGUAACCUCGCCUCUCUUCUUGAACCACACCGGGCUGCCCCUGCUCAGUGCCCCACCAGGCGUGGGUCUGGUCUCAGCAGCGGCUGCAGCUGUGGCAGCGACCAUCUCCAGCAAGUCUCCUGGCCUCUCCUCCUCGUCUUCAUCCUCCUCCUCCUCCUCCACUUGCAGUGAAGUGGCAGCGCAGACCUCUGGAGGCCCGGGGGGACCCGAGGCAGGGUCCAAGGCCGAGUGAGAGCCCACCAUGCCUCCCCUCCUACUCCUCUGAGUCCCCUGACCUUGGUCCCCUGCCCAAGAGAGGGUGAGGAGGCUGGUGGGGGAUACAGUGGAUCCUCGGAGCAGGAGUGACGAAGGAGGAAAAGACCAAAAAUCCAACCAAAAACAAAAACAAACAAACAAACAAACAAAAGGAAACCAACCAACAAAAAAGAAAACCAAAAAAUGUUCACAACAGAAACCAGCUGCCCUAAAGGAACCAGAGAAGAAAAACAAAGAAAUGAACAAAAAAACACCUCCAAACUAACCAAACACCCCUACCCCCAAACCAAACAAACCAAAAACCAGUCUUGAGCCAGAUCUUGGAGUGCUCACUGCUAUGACACCAAAUAAGAACCCUCAGCCAGGAGCGGAGCGGCCUCCAGCAGGCCGGACCUCAUGCCGCAGAGCCCUGGCUGUGGGACCAACUCCUAACCUUACCCCACUGGGGGUGGGCAGAGAAGGAACCAGAGAAUGUGCCAGCGUGCUGGCCCAGCCCCAGCCCUGGGCCAAUAGAGACAGGCACUGCCUGGGGCAGGAGGCCCAGGGCCCAGAGCCACCUACCAAAUGGUCUUUUCCAGAAGGUAAAAGAGAAAGGACCCGAACAACCUUACACCAAAUACUCAGUAGCUUCAUCCAAAGGAUGUACAGAGUUUUUAGCGUUGCGCUCAACAGAAUGUGUGUCUAUUCUACGUGUUCCCUCUCCCCAGCCCCCCAGCUCUCCCCAACAGGGCAGGGGUCUUGCUUUAAACCCCCCUCCCAGCACCCCCAGCCUGGGGAGAGUUCAGAGGAAGGCCUAGGAAUGGACAUUUUUGUCCUCUGCUCCUUCCUUUCUCCCUUUGAAGGGUGGGCUAGGCCAUUUUUUUUUGCCGAGUUCCAGCUCUCAAAAGCCCCCUCCUCAGCCCCUGUCACCUUUCUGCUCUGGAGUCUACCUCCUCCCCAGCCUGUGGGAAGGUUGUGGGCUCGAGCAAAGGGGGAUGAGGUGAGGGCAUCCAAGUUGUCUUUCUUCCCAUCCUGUCUGUCAGUUUCCCUGAAAAAAAAAAAUCAUAUUCCAGUGCCUACCCGUGGGAUCUUCACGUUCUUUCACAUUAACCAGAAACCAAAAAGAUUAACUCUCCUUAUUCUGCCCACCCUAUGCCCCUUACGACACUGGCAGAUACCUCUCCCUUCCCCUUCCCUCCCCACCCUCCAAUGCACACUCGCACACAGCCCAGUGGUGGACUCCUCCGGAUGGCAUCUCCAUCAGGGACUGCGUGGUGGUGACAUCACCAUGACCUGUGGUUCCCCAUGCAAGCGGCCACCACUCCCACGAGACCUCCAGGAGUCUUGGCUGGACCUUAUAUUUGCCUAGCUCUGGACGUAUCU